GCUAGCGUUGUUCGGAAUUACUGGGCGUAAAGCGCACGUAGGCGGCUUUUUAAGUCAGGGGUGAAAUCCCGGGGCUCAACCCCGGAACUGCCUUUGAAACUGGAGAGCUAGAAUCUUGGAGAGGCGAGUGGAAUUCCGAGUGUAGAGGUGAAAUUCGUAGAUAUUCGGAAGAACACCAGUGGCGAAGGCGACUCGCUGGACAAGUAUUGACGCUGAGGUGCGAAAGCGUGGGGAGCAAACAGG
rnacentral:rRNA from 1 species